ensembl:antisense Gm28154 predicted gene 28154
NNNNNGAGGAGACCAGCAGGCUUCUACCUUUAUGUAAAGCCCACUCAGCAGCCCCAAACUGCAACCUUCCACUGGGCUCCAUAAACUGGCCUAAAACUCUGAUUCCUUUUCUGGAGGGCUGCCAGGAAAAACAACACACCUAAAAGCUUUAGUUUAAAAAUGAGCAAACACACUAUGUUUGGUGUGAUUCUUUACAGAGGAGUAGAUAGCAAGAAAUACUCAAACUCAGAGCUGAAAUAAAUCAAUUAGUAACAAAGAAAACAAUACAAAGACUCAAUGAAAGAGUUGGUUCUUUGAGAUCAUCAACAAGAAAUCCUUAUCCAAUCAAACUAAAAGGCAGAGGCAAUAUCCAAAUUGGCAAAAUCGGAAAUCAAAAGGGGGCUAAAAACAACAGACAAUGAGGAAAUCUAAAGAUUCGUUAGGUCUUACUUCAAAAACCUGUACUCCACAAAAUUGUAAAUUCUAAAUAAAAUGGACAAUUUUCUUGACAGAUACCGUUUGCCAAAGAUAAAGCAAGAUUGAAUAAACAAUUUAAAGAUGUAUUCUUAGGAUAAACAGAAAAGGAAAGACUAUGUCUUAACAAUGCUAUGCUUGUGUGUCAAUUAACAUAGGGAUCAAUUAUCCCAGCUAGUUUUACCUGAACUUGACAAAGGCUACAUUCAUCUGAAAGUUGGGAACGUCAAUUAAGAAAAUCUGUCUAUAAGAUAAAACUGCAGAGCAUGUUCUUAACUAGGGAUUGAUGUGAGAAGGCCCAUUCCAUUGUGGACAGUGCUAUUGAAUGGCUGGUGGUACUCAGUUCUAUAAGGAAGCAGGUUGCAGGCCAUAAAGAACAAGAGGAUAGGCAGCACUCCUCCACGCAUCUGCAUUUUCUCCUGCCUCCAGGUAACUCCCCCGUUAGAAUUCCUAUCCUGAUUACCUUCAGUAAUAUGGAAGUAUAAGCCGAGUAAAUCCUUUUUUUCUCCAAUUUGUUUUUUAUUGUAGUGUUUUAUCGUAGCUAUAGAAGCCCUACCUUAGACAAGGCCUCUACAGAGAGCCUCUUAGAGAUUGCUCCUGACACAAGUGUGCAUGCAAAAUGACAGACUAAGAAGACAAAAGUAUCAUCUACAACAGUUGGUUCAAGUGUCUCAUGUAUUCUUCAAUAAGACUGUGCCCAUCCUAAGUUAAAUACCAAACGAGGAAGAGAGAAUGAACUCAAAACAGGACUCUAGUGCUUUCCUAAAAAUGGCCUCAUCACUGUGCAUAAAUGUAGAACAAAUUAUUUAGACUCUAAUCAUUGUUUCAAUAAAGCAAGCAUCUUUGGAGAGGAGAGGCUGCUCAGAUUUACAUUAAAUGUGGUGCAGAAAGGAGAGAGUUAGGUUAAAAUCAGGUGAGCUCAUCUACAGUAGCAAGUUCUCUCUCUCUCUCUCUCUCUCUCUCUCUCUCUCUCUCUCUCUCUCUCUCUCUUUGCUUCAUCUUCAUUUUUCUCUUUUGACUAGUCAAAAUGAUUAAGUUUUAAGCCAGUGACAUAUAGUAUAAAUGACCCUAGAUUAUGAUGAAAGUUUUAAUUAUUGCUUGCUAAGUUUUUUUUUGUAUAGACAUAACUUCUUCCAAAAUGACACGGCAUUCCCUCUUAUUGUUUAUUCUGUAAAGAAGAAAUGGAUUAAUAGGCCAGGUGUAGUAGUGUAUAGAUCAAACAAAAUGUAAGAUUUGUUGUUUUAUUUUCCAAGUUCUUUCUAAACCAGAAACUUGUUUGCUGCCUUUUGAGAAGUAUGUUCAAGUAGUCAUUGAGACCUGUGCCAAGAACCAGCCCAAGCUGAUGGCUGUGGUUAGUGGAAAUCUUAUUUGUUUUGUGAAUCAGAUCCAGUGGGGAGAAAAAAAAGGCAACUUUUGAACAAAAUUGUAAAAAGAAACAGGUCUAAAAAAAAUUGAAAUAUUUAAUCCAAAGAAGAUAAUAAUGAUUAAGUGGAAAAUAAUGUUCAUACCCUCUUAUUUUGACUUCACACACUGGAAGCUUUUUUAUGGUCCUAUAGUGCUGCUGUCACUGUGGAGAGUUGUGCUCCAUCAGCAGUAGUUUACUGAUGAUAUUUCUCUCAGUCUUGGGUUAAAUAGUGGCACGAAAAAGUAGUUGGUAAAUUUCAUUGAUAACUAUUUUGAGUGAAAAUUUGUCAACUAAUACAGGGCUUUAUCUAGAAGAGCACUCCUAGUAAGUCUUUAGCUGGACAGCUCUAGCAGGGCAUGGCUAGUUUCUAAGCAUAGAGUUGAACUUGGCUCAAGAGGUCUCUCCUCCAGGUGCUGACAUGACCUUCUUUCUGAAUAAAUUAGCUUCAGUUUUGGAGGAAAUAUCAGCAUAGAUACUUAUCCAAUCACAAUCCAUGUCCAAAAGUACCAUAUUAAUUCCUACUUGGCAAAUUAAUGUAGAAAAUAACCUAGAAUAAAUAGUCUUUUUAACUAACUGCCCUUGGUGAGCACUGAGUUUAUUGUUCUCCUACUUUAACAGCAUCUUCUUUCCCCUAAAGGACAACCACUUCAUUGUAUAUUUUUAAAUUGAAUUUCAACUUUUUAUGUAUAGUCCUCUCAGUGAAAACUUUUUAGAAUUGUUUUAUUUUCUGUCAUGAUAAAAAAACAAUGUAGGCCAUAAAAAAAGUUUCACCUGUUUGGCAAGGUUAAUGGUAGUUUGCCAUAGUUGGUAUUAAAAUGUUAUGGUCAUCAAGAGUCAUCAAGCCUCUACAAGACCAAGCUUAUCCCCUCCCAUUGAGGGCAGACAAGGCCAUGUAUGCUCCUCAGUAGGUGGCUUAGUCUCUGGGAGCCCUGAGGGGUCUGAUGAGUGGAUAUUGUUUAUCUUCCUUUGGGGUUACAAUCUUCUUCUGCUCCUUCAGUCCUUUCCCUAACUCUUCCAAAGGGGUCUCUGAUCUCUGUCCAAUGAUUGUCUGUAUCUGAAUCUGUCUCAGUCAGUUGUCAGUAGAGCCUCUCAGAGGACAGCCAUGUCAGACUCCUGUCUGCAAGCACAACAUGGCAUCAGCAAUAAUGUCGGAGUUUGGUGCCUGAGCAUGGAAUGGAUCCCAUGUUGGGCUGUCUUUAAAUGGCCUUUUCUUCAGUCUCUGCUCCAUUAUUUUCUCUGCAUUUCCUUUAGACAGGAACAAUUCUGAGUCAAAAUCUUUGAGAUGAGUAGAUGGCCCCAGUUAUGAUGAAUGUUAUUUAACUUCUGUUUAAUGUUCUUUCAACUCGAGGUGUUCUUUGAAUAAUGUCAAGCAUCCCAUUAAUAUUUUGAAAUAGUAAGAUAGCACUUACCCACAAUUCUAUAGCCAUCUAAAUUUUACUCUAAAUAGAAUUAAUGUGUACAUAAAUUACACAUUAAUUCUAUUUUUAUUUUCAUGAUAAAGUUUGGUUACUUUUUGCAUCUAAAAUUGUUAUUGGGAAACUAUGUUUUCCAUCAUAGAGCUUUAGAAACAAAAGGGAUGUUUCAAACAGCUAAAACAAAUAUCUUGUCCUGUCUAAAAGAACUACAGAGAUAAAAAUGGAGCAGGGACUGAAGGAAUGGCCAACGAACAACAAGCCCAUCCCCUGGGCAAAGACCAGUUCCUGACACAAUGAUACUCUGUUCUUCUUGCAGAUUGGAGCCUAGAAUAGUUGUCUUCUGAGAGGCUCUACCCAGCAGCUGAUGAAACCAAAUGCUGAUACCCACAGUCAAACAUUAAAAGGAGGGCUGCCUUAUCUGGCCUCAGUAGGAGAGAAUUUGCCAAAGUCAGCAGAGACUUGAUAGUACCAUGGUUGGAGGAUACCCAGGGAGGGACCAUGGGCAUAGUGAUGAGGCUGGAGAUGAAGAACAGGAGAGGAUGAAGAAGUUCAGUAGAGUGCUUUGACUUCUACAACUAUCAAAAAUGCCCAUCUGACUGUUUAUCUCUCACUCCAGUUAAUGACUCAGGAAAUGGAACUCAACUUGGUACUUACUUUGGAGCAUAGUUGCACACCAAGUACACUGCUCUUCGCCACACAGAUCCCCAGACGUUCAUGUUUUGGAUCUCACUAUGGAUCUCAGGAUGGACUUUUCUGCCACCACCUCCUGUGCACUGAUUUACAAGUGUGCUCCAUCACAACGGGAUUUGCACUUAGAGGAUGGGAACCUGACCAGUACCAGCAUGCAUGAUUCACAAAAUCCACUGUUAUCAUUUCUAUUAUGUUAACACAGAUGUAUUUUUCUUUAUAUUUAUUUCAAAUUCUUAAAGAUAAUAAAUUUAAAAUUUGUG